GACAAGAAUGGAGCCUCGAGUCGAGAGAGUAUAAUGGAUCGAACCAAAGAAUGAGCACAUUCUGUUGUGAUGAGAUUUCUCAUGGAGCUGAUGGUUCGCAGAUAAUAGUGACAG